GUCGGUGCUGAUUGUGAUGAGGGUCCACCCGUUCCCAUCCCGAACACGGUAGUUAAGCUCAUUCACGCUGACAAUACUUGGAGGGCGACUUCCCGGAAAGAUAAGUAGUGCCGACA
rfam:Faecalibacterium sp. CAG:82-related_59_9 Ley3_66761_scaffold_5000, whole genome shotgun sequence.